GAUGAACGCUAGCUACAGGCUUAACACAUGCAAGUCGAGGGGCAGCAUGAACUUAGCUUGCUAAGUUUGAUGGCGACCGGCGCACGGGUGAGUAACACGUAUCCAACCUGCCGAUGACUCGGGGAUAGCCUUUCGAAAGAAAGAUUAAUACCCGAUGGCAUAGUUCUUCCGCAUGGUAGAACUAUUAAAGAAUUUCGGUCAUCGAUGGGGAUGCGUUCCAUUAGGUUGUUGGCGGGGUAACGGCCCACCAAGCCUUCGAUGGAUAGGGGUUCUGAGAGGAAGGUCCCCGACAUUGGAACUGAGGCACGGUCCAAACUCCUACGGGAGGGAGCAGUGAGGAAGAUUGGUCAAUGGACGAGAGUCUGAACCAGCCAAGUAGCGUGAAGGAUGGCUGCCCUAUGGGUUGUAAACUUCUUUUAGACGGGAAUAAAGUGAGGCACGUGUGCCUUUUUGUAUGUACCGUAUGAAUAAGGAUCGGCUAACUCCGUG
rnacentral:rRNA from 1 species